GUCCAACAACAUCAGGAGGGCACUAUGUUGGAUUCUCCUGAUCUAAAACAAUAAGAUUUCACUGCAAAUUAUGUUUCAGUUCUAUAAACUACUAUGAAUGACAUUAUAUGUGCUUACUGUAUUCAUAUUUUGAAGCUGAAGUUGCUCCAAAGAACUCACUUCGCCAUCUUGGCCUUGCAACAGCCCUGGGAGAUAGCUGAAAAACAGGUGCUUGCCCAAAUCUGCCAAAUGAUCAUCAUUGGUACUUGAUUAAAUGAGCACUUCCUAAAAGCUACAAGGGAGAAAUUGUAAAUUUCUGAAGAUAAUUAUACACUUACAUAAAUCAAAGACUUUAAAGUUGAAUUUGUAUUAUAUAUUAAUUUACAAGAAAUAAAGCAUAUACAUGAAUAUAA